ensembl:lncRNA novel transcript
GACUACGAAGCCACUGGAACGAAGAAACUCCAACCACGUUUGAACAUCAGAAGGGGCAGACUCCAGACGCUUCAUCUUAAGAGCUGUAACACUCACUGUGAAGGUCUGCAGCUUCACUCCUGAGCCAGCGAGACCACGAACCGAUCUGAACAUCAGAAGGGACAGACUCCAGAUGCCCCACCUUAAGAGCUGUAAUACUCACUGCAAGGGUCUGCAGCUUCAUUCUUGAAGUCAGACCAAGAACCCAGCAAUUCCCAACACACAGGGACCAGCUUCUUUCCUAACUCACUUAGGCUCUUCGUGCUGCUCUGGCAACUAACACCCUUGGCUGCAGGGGCUUGGACACUACCCUUAGUCACUGACAAUUGUGUGAAGGCUGCUGUCGUUAACUUCACUUGAUCACCUUAGGCUCCUGUGAAGUGGUGAGCAAUUCAAACAAAUUCCUGUCGUCAAAUCAUGAGUCCACCUGUCCCGAGUUGGAAGUCUGAACUCAUGUUCCUGGAUUCCUCCCAUGCAUCUUGGUGCUGGUGUGGGGCCUGAACUCAGCCAAUCCGCAACACCUCCAGGAGUCUUCCUCUUAGAUGCUGAGGCCACGGAGAAGGAAGCAGCACAAAGAAUGAACCCUGGAGAGGGUGCCAGAGGCAGGCGGGUUCCAGCCAUGUGGCGGCACAGCCUUACUGGGAUAGUCUAGCUGUGUCACUCAGGUACGGUUGCUCUCUGAGAAGCCGCCAAACCCAACCCUUUCACACACACCUAGGAUGAUUUGAAGAGCUACCUAAUAACCUUUCAUAAGGUUCUGAAAGCCAGCCAGAGUGGUUGUGAUCAGUAGUAAUGAAGAGCCUUCUUUCACUGACAUUCCACUUUUUACAGAUGGGGAAGCCAGGCUCCAGCAGUUACAAAACAAGGUCCCAUGACCCCUAGACCCUACUUGCAAAGCUGGGAUUGACGCAAGCUCAUCUAACUCCAAAACCCAAGCUCUUCCCACUGUGACAAGGGAGGGGACAAAUAGGAAAAGGCAGUUUGAGCUUUUCUGGGAAAGGAAAGAAAUGAAUACCUUGGCCUUUGUCCAGAUGUGGCCUGCAGAAUAAAUCCUAUGUGGCAAGGCCGCUUAACCUCUGCCGGGGCUGUGUCAUUACGGUGAUUCUUCACACUAGUUAAAUGCCACGGUGAGGAUGGCACGGGGGAAGAAGAGCUCACGGCAGGCGCCAUCUCCAGAAAGGAUCCACUGCAGGUGGUUGGUGAGUCCAGAUGGCUCCCCCAGAUGACACUGCUGGGUGGCAACCUAAUUAUUUUUCAUUAACUUUUAAUUAUGGAACAUUUCAAACGUGUGCACAAUUAAAGAGAGUCGUACAAUGAACCUCGUGUGUCCGAAACUCAACUUCGACAACGAUCAACUAAAUGCCCAAUCUUGUUUUAUCUGUAUCUCCACACACUUCCCCCUCAUUCAGGAUUAUUUCAAAACAAACCCUGGAUUUAAUCAUUCUAGAUUUAAUAAUUUUAUUCACUACUAUUUCAGUAUGUAUGUCUAAAAGAUAACAAUAUCAUUUUUACACCUAUAAAUUAAUAAUA